CCUACGGGAGGCAGCAGUGGGGAAUUUUGCGCACUGCUCGUAAGAGUGACGCAGCGACGCCGCGUGAAUGACGAAGGCCUUCGGGUCGUAAAGUUCUUUCGACAGGGAAGAAAAUGCCUAUAAGUAACUGUGUAUGUAUUGACGGUACCUGUAUAAGCAGCCCCGGCUAACUCCGUGCCAGCAGCCGCGGUAAUACGGAGGGGGCGAGCGUUGUUCGGAGUGACUGGGCGUAAAGCGCACGUAGGCGGUGUUGUAAGUCAUUAGUCAAAGACUAGAGCUCAACGUUAGUAAGGCUAGUGAUACUAUAAUACGAGAGUAUCAGAGAGGAUUGCAGAAAUCCUGGUGUAGCGGUGAAAUGCGUAGAUAUCAGGAGGAAUACCGUUAGCGAAGGCGGCAAUCUGGCUGGAAACUGACGCUGAGGUGCGAAAGCGUGGGUAGCAAACAGGAUUAGAUACCCCAGUAGUC
rnacentral:rRNA from 1 species